rnacentral:rRNA from 1 species
UACGAAGGGGGCUAGCGUUGCUCGGAUUUACUGGGCGUAAAGGGCGCGUAGGCGGACGAUUUAGUCAGAGGUGAAAGCCCGGGGCUCAACCCCGGAAUUGCCUUUGAUACUGGUCGUCUUGAGUUUGGGAGAGGUGUGUGGAACUCCGAGUGUAGAGGUGAAAUUCGUAGAUAUUCGGAAGAACACCAGUGGCGAAGGCGACACACUGGCCCAAUACUGACGCUGAGGCGCGAAAGCGUGGGGAGCAAACAGG